rnacentral:rRNA from 1 species
GACGAACGCUGGCGGCGUGCUUAACACAUGCAAGUCGAACGCUGAAGCUCAGCUUUUGUUGGGUGGAUGAGUGGCGAACGGGUGAGUAACACGUGAGUAACCUGCCCCCUUCUUUGGGAUAACGCCCGGAAACGGGUGCUAAUACUGGAUAUUCACUGGUCUUCGCAUGGGGGUUGGUGGAAAGGGUUUUUCUGGUGGGGGAUGGGCUCGCGGCCUAUCAGCUUGUUGGUGGGGUGAUGGCCUACCAAGGCUUUGACGGGUAGCCGGCCUGAGAGGGUGACCGGUCACAUUGAGACUGAGAUACGGCCCAGACUACUACGGGAGGCAGCAGUGGGGAAUAUUGCACAAUGGGCGCAAGCCUGAUGCAGCGACGCCGCGUGAGGGAUGGAGGCCUUCGGGUUGUGAACCUCUUUCGCUCAUGGUCAAGCCGCAACAAUGGUUGUGGUGAGGGUAGUGGGUAAAGAAGCGCCGGCUAACUACGUG